rnacentral:rRNA from 1 species
AGAGUUUGAUCAUGGCUCAGAUUGAACGCUGGCGGCAUGCCUUACACAUGCAAGUCGAACGCGAAAGGGGGCAACCCCGAGUAGAGUGGCGAACGGGUGAGCAAUACAUCGGAACACGUCCUGUAGCGGGGGACAACCUCGAGAAAUCGAGGCUAAUACCGCAUACGAUCUACGGAUGAAAGUGGGGGACCGCAAGGCCCCACACUAUAGGAGUGGCCGAUGCCGGAUUAGCUUGUUGGCGGGGUAAAAGCCCACCAAGGCGACGAUCCGUAGCUGGUUUGAGAGAACGACCAGCCACACUGGGACUGAGACACGGCCCAGACUCCUACGGGAGGCAGCAGUGGGGAAUUUUGGACAAUGGGCGCAAGCCUGAUCCAGCCAUGCCGCGUGAGUGAAGAAGGCCUUCGGGUUGUAAAGCUCUUUCGGCCGGGACGAAAUGGCGCGGGGUAACAUCCCGCGUCGAUGACGGUACCGGAAGAAGAAGGACCGGCUAACUACGUGCCAGCAGCCGCGGUAAUACGUAGGGUCCAAGCGUUAAUCGGAAUUACUGGGCGUAAAGCGUGUGCAGGCGGUUUCGAAAGUCCGAUGUGAAAUCCCCGGGCUUAACCUGGGAACUGCGUUGGAAACUACGAAGCUAGAGUGCGGCAGAGGGGGGUGGAAUUCCAGGUGUAGCAGUGAAAUGCGUAGAUAUCUGGAGGAACACCGAUGGCGAAGGCAGCCCCCUGGGUUAGCACUGACGCUCAUACACGAAAGCGUGGGGAGCAAACAGGAUUAGAUACCCUAGUAGUCC